rnacentral:tRNA from 3 species
GGCCCCAUCGUCUAGUGGCCUAGGACACUGGCCUCUCACGCCGGCAACAGGGGUUCGAGUCCCCUUGGGGUCACCA